UACUAUGUUACGACUUAUCUUACUUUAAUAAUAAGAGCGACGGGCGAUGUGUACAUAUUUUAGAGCUAAAGUCAAAUUUUUAAUCUUUAAAAUUUUACUACCAAAUCCACUUUCAUUAAAUAUUACAAAUUUAAAUCCAUUUAAAUAAAUUUAUUGUAACCCAUUUAUACUUAAAUAUAAGCUACACCUUGAUCUGAUAUAAAUUUUAAUUAAAAUUUAUGAAAAUUAUUUUUCUAAAAAAAUAUUCUAAUAACGACGAUAUAUAAACUGAAAUACAAACUUAAGUAAGGUUCAUCGUGGAUUAUCAAUUAAAAAACAGGUUCCUCUGAAUAGACUAAAAUACCGCCAAAUUUUUUAAGUUUCAAGAACAUAACUAUUACUACCUUAGUGUUUUAAAUUACAUUUUUUAUAAUAGGGUAUCUAAUCCUAGUUUA
rnacentral:rRNA from 1 species